UCGAGUGCUUAAUGCAAUUCAGUUCAGAAAUUAAACCAAUAUUCUCAUACGUGACUUAACUCAAAAUCAUUAUAACACUAAUGAAGGAUUAUAAAGCAUUAAGUGAAGAAUUACAUUAAGUAAACACUAUGAAACAAAGUAAAUUCUUACAAUAUUGCAGAUUACAUUAGAUCCAUCUACAUCCUAAGCUAUCCUAGAUCCUACCUCCACAAGGAGUUUAGCUCCUCAUGUUGCUUCGUUCGCGUCCUAGCUUCAACUUCAUGGCUUGAGAAUCCAUGCUAUUGAGGAGCUUGAAGCUAUCCUAUGAAGUUCUGGAUCCAACUAUGAAAGCUCCCAAAACCAGAAAGUAGAUGAAAUGUAGCAGAUUUUCCAACCCCUGAACCAGAAAAUGCAGUUUCCUUAUAUAAUAAUCGCAACCACGCCGCGCGCCANN
rnacentral:lncRNA from 1 species